GAGCGGACAGAUGGGAGCUUGCUCCCUGAUGUUAGCGGCGGACGGGUGAGUAACACGUGGGUAACCUGCCUGUAAGACUGGGAUAACUCCGGGAAACCGGGGCUAAUACCGGAUGCUUGUUUGAACCGCAUGGUUCAAACAUAAAAGGUGGCUUCGGCUACCACUUACAGAUGGACCCGCGGCGCAUUAGCUAGUUGGUGAGGUAACGGCUCACCAAGGCAACGAUGCGUAGCCGACCUGAGAGGGUGAUCGGCCACACUGGGACUGAGACACGGCCCAGACUCCUACGGGAGGCAGCAGUAGGGAAUCUUCCGCAAUGGACGAAAGUCUGACGGAGCAACGCCGCGUGAGUGAUGAAGGUUUUCGGAUCGUAAAGCUCUGUUGUUAGGGAAGAACAAGUACCGUUCGAAUAGGGCGGUACCUUGACGGUACCUAACCAGAAAGCCACGGCUAACUACGUGCCAGCAGCCGCGGUAAUACGUAGGUGGCAAGCGUUGUCCGGAAUUAUUGGGCGUAAAGGGCUCGCAGGCGGUUUCUUAAGUCUGAUGUGAAAGCCCCCGGCUCAACCGGGGAGGGUCAUUGGAAACUGGGGAACUUGAGUGCAGAAGAGGAGAGUGGAAUUCCACGUGUAGCGGUGAAAUGCGUAGAGAUGUGGAGGAACACCAGUGGCGAAGGCGACUCUCUGGUCUGUAACUGACGCUGAGGAGCGAAAGCGUGGGGAGCGAACAGGAUUAGAUACCCUGGUAGUCCACGCCGUAUACGAUGAGUGC
rnacentral:rRNA from 1 species